rnacentral:rRNA from 1 species
CACCCGGGGAGGGGCGGGUACGAGCACCGGAACGACUGCACUUACAAGAUGGGGAUGGUCAUUCGUGGUGUGACCGCGAGCUUUUGGAAAGACGGGCCAACGAGGUACGUUAAGGAGCAAGGUUAAGCACUUAAGGUGCGGAGCCGUAGCGAAAGCGAGUUUUAACUGAGCGUUCAGUUACUGGACGUAGACCCGAAACCGGGCGACCUACCCAUGAGCAGGAUGAAGCGAAAGUAAAAUUUCGUGGAGGUCCGAACCCACGAGCGUUGAAAAGCUCGGGGAUGACUUGUGGGUAGCGGUGAAAUUCCAAUCGAGCCCGGAGAUAGCUGGUUCUCCCCGAAAUAGCUUUAGGGCUAGCCUCAAGGUGAGAGAUACGGA